CAUUUAUGGGUCAUUAGUACAAACAUCCUUUAAGGAUUGUUCUUAUUUAUUAGACCAUGACCAGAUGGAAGUUGAUGUUGAUUAUGAUGCUGAUGAUGCUGACACUGGGAUUGAAGAUGACGUUCCCCACACCAUCACAGAAAAUGAUGAAAUGGACAUGGACUUAGAUUUUGAAGAUGGCUGUCAGCAGCUACACAAACAAGAGAAGCCUUCCUUGAGUGUUCAGAAGUAAAGAGAAAAAUCAAGCAGAACCAGGACGAUCCAAAGCUAAAGCAGGACAAUCCCUGAGGCUUGUUUCAAUGUCUUAUCAUAUACAUUGAAAUAUUUCAAUAAAGGCAAUCUAGCAACUUUAAACAGAGUUUAAAAGUUACUUAUAAAAACACUAAGUAUAUUACGUAUUGCAAGAUUUGAAACAAUGAGUAAAAAAUACCAGU